rnacentral:rRNA from 1 species
GAUGGAGUGCUUGCACUCCUGAUAGUUAGCGGCGGACGGGUGAGUAACACGUAGGUAACCUGCCCGACAGACCGGGAUAACAUUCGGAAACGAAUGCUAAUACCGGAUACGCGAUUUGGUCGCAUGGCCGAAUCGGGAAAGACGGAGCAAUCUGUCACUGUCGGAUGGACCUGCGGCGCAUUAGCUAGUUGGUGGGGUAACGGCUCACCAAGGCGACGAUGCGUAGCCGACCUGAGAGGGUGAUCGGCCACACUGGGACUGAGACACGGCCCAGACUCCUACGGGAGGCAGCAGUAGGGAAUCUUCCGCAAUGGGCGAAAGCCUGAGGGAAUCUUCCGCAAUGGGCGAAAGCCUGACGGAGCAACGCCGCGUGAGUGAUGAAGGUUUUCGGAUCGUAAAGCUCUGUUGCCAGGGAAGAACGCUUAGGAGAGUAACUGCUCCUAAGGUGACGGUACCUGAGAAGAAAGCCCCGGCUAACUACGUGCCAGCAGCCGCGGUAAUACGUAGGGGGCAAGCGUUGUCCGGAAUUAUUGGGCGUAAAGCGCGCGCAGGCGGUCAAUUAAGUUUGGUGUUUAAGGCUGGGGCUCAACUCCAGUUCGCACUGAAAACUGGUUGACUUGAGUGCAGAAGAGGAAAGUGGAAUUCCACGUGUAGCGGUGAAAUGCGU